rnacentral:tRNA from 1 species
ACUUGUAUAUUAUAUAAUAAUAUAUUUAACUUCCAAUUAAAAAAACUAAUAAAAUUUAGUACAAGUA